AAGUCGUAACAAGGUUUCCGUAGGUGAACCUGCGGAAGGAUCAUUAAUACGCUUUUGUUUGUAACAAAACAAAACGUUUUAAACUCCAAAAGAAAUAGUGGAAAUAUAACUUCCGGAUGCGAAUGUUGGGAACUGAGUAAAAUCGGUUCUUUGAAAAAGGGACUUCAAGCAAUUGACACUUCAGAGUAGAGCAGUGAGGUGAAAUUCUCUUUAUGAGAGUUUGGUUCUGAAAAACAUUUGUAUCCGGUUAUCAUAAUCUGUUCUACAAACUCCAAAAUAUCAAACAAUAAACCCCAUGUACAACAACUUGAACUAAACAUUUUUUUGUUGUCUGCUUGCACUUGUGUGAGAAGAUACUACAAAGAAAAACAUGAACUUAAGAACAACUCUUAACAACGGAUAUCUUGGUUCUC
rnacentral:misc_RNA from 1 species